rnacentral:tRNA from 1 species
GCCCCAGUAGCUCAGCUGGUUAGAGCGCCUCCUUGGUAAGGAGGAGGUCGCGAGUUCAAAUCUCGCCUGGGGCU